rnacentral:lncRNA from 1 species
ACCCUCACGGCGUCUGCCACCUCCAAAACCACCGCCACCGCCGCCGCUUCCGCGUGAUUGAGCUUCAUUAACGGUGAUGUUACGACCGUCAAGGUUCUGGCCGUUCAUUCCUUCAAUUGCGUCCCUCAUAGCUUUCUCAUCAUUGAAGGUAACAAAGCCAAAUCCCCUUGAUCUUCCAGUUUCACGAUCGUUAAUGAUCUGAAAUCAAAAUCCGUAAAAGAUCAGAUCUAAACAGAUCUACAUGAAUUACAACAAAAAAACAAACAGAUUUAAACAUGCAUGGUAUAUAGAAAUAAUACUCCAUCCGUUACAAGAAUAAAUUAUGUCACUGAAAAUAGGAAACAAGUGAACAAUUCAUCUAAUUUUCGUGAAUUAAAAUACGAAUUUUCCAUAUAUAUAUAAAAGCGAUCAAUGUUCAAAUCUAUGGAAGAUCGGAACGUACCGUAUAAGGGAACGGAAUAACGUAACAGUAACAAAUAGUAACAUAGUAACAGAGUGAAUCAAGUAAACCAGAGAGUGAAAGUAACAGUAACAGUAACAGAGAGAUCAAUGAUCAGAUCGGCUCGGAUCCGAUCUCAGCUCUGCAGUGCAACAAACGGACCUUCGAGUCGACAACUUCGCCGUAGUGAGCAAAAGCAUCUCCUAAAGUUCUAUCGGUG